rnacentral:rRNA from 1 species
AAUAUAGGACAAUGGGCGAAAGCCUGAUCCAGUCAUGCCGCGUGUGUGAAGAAGGUCUUCGGAUUGUAAAGCACUUUAAGUUGGGAGGAAGGGCAGUAAGUUAAUACCUUGCUGUUUUGACUUUACAGACAGAAUAAGCACCUGCUAACUUCGUGCCAGCAGCCGCGGUAAGACGAAUGGUGCAAUCGUUAAUCGGAAUGACUUGGCGUAAAGAGCGCGUAGGUGGUUUGAUAAGUUGGAUGUGAAAGCCCCGGGCUCAACCUGGGAAUUGCAUCAAAAACUGUCUGACUAGAGUAUGGCAGAGGGUGGUGGAAUUUCCUGUGUAGCGGUGAAAUGCGUAGAUAUAGGAAGGAACACCAGUGGCGAAGGCGACCACCUGGGCUAAUACUGACACUGAGGUGCGAAAGCGUGGGGAGCAAACAGG